UAGCGGCAGGCCUAAUACAUGCAAGUCGAACGGAUGUUAGCAAUAGCAUUAGUGGCGCACGGGUGCGUAACACGUAACUAACCUACCUAUAACUGGGGGAUAGCCCGCCGAAAGGCGGAUUAAUACCGCAUAAGACAUGUGUCCGGCAUCGGGUGUUUGUUAAAGAUUUAUUGGUUAUAGAUGGGGUUGCGGGUCAUUAGCUGGUUGGUAAGGUAACGGCUUACCAAGGCGACGAUGACUAGGGGAGCUGAGAGGCUGGUCCCCCACACGGGCACUGAGAUACGGGCCCGACUCCUACGGGAGGCAGCAGUAGGGAAUAUUGGGCAAUGGGCGAGAGCCUGACCCAGCCAUGCCGCGUGCAGGAAGAAGGCUUUCUGAGUCGUAAACUGCUUUUGAUAGGGAAGAAUAAGGAGUAUGUAUACUCUGAUGACGGUACCUACAGAAUAAGCACCGGCUAACUCCGUGCCAGCAGCCGCGGUAAUACGGAGGGUGCGAGCGUUGUCCGGAUUUAUUGGGUUUAAAGGGUGCGUAGGCGGCUCUUUAAGUCCGGGGUGAAAGCCCGUUGCUCAACAACGGAACUGCCCUGGAUACUGGAGAGCUUGAGUACAGACGAGGUUGGCGGAAUGGACCGAGUAG
rnacentral:rRNA from 1 species